CGUUGACAAGUUAAAGAGAACUUAGAUGGACUUAUUCCACACCAAAAUACCACAUCACUCCCCAGUCCUCGUUGCCCUCUUGCCGAGCCGUCCUCCGCCAUGCUCCGUACUCCAUCUCCGAUCGGCGACCCGCCCUGAGCCGGCGGAGCCGCUCGACGUUAGGGCCCCACCUCACCAGGCGACGGCGUGGGCAUCCUCGAUUCUCAGGGGUGUGGCGGCGUCGGCGGCGGCGCAACGGUGGGCGCCGUCCAUCCCUCCCAGCCGGCUCGGCCUGGUGACCGGAUUCAGAGAUGACGGCGAGAUGCAAAUUUGUCAGGCAAUGUGAUUAAGUAGAUAUGCAUCCUGGUUGGUCACAAGGUGUUAUGCUCACGCCUCGAUAUGGUUCUUGCGUAGCCACAGAAAGGAGCAGCUACUAUGUGCUUACUCCAGCCACUGGAGUUGUAUACAACUUGCCUGUGAAUCCAGCAGAGGAGCAUGUGUACCAUGUCCAGUUGAUCACCUGCACAGACCUUACCCUCAUUUGCAUUUGGGCAUGUUGCUUCCAUGGGAGAGUACAAGGUGAUCCAUAUUUACAGACCUAGAGCUACAUCAGCUCUGUGAGUUCAUUACUGUCAAGUGUGGCACUCACCAUGCAGACCUAUGUUGAAACACAGGCAAACAUCAAUGUUAUCUCUUAUUGGGUGGUGUACUUGAUGGAUAUUGGAUUGUGUAUAUGAGCUAUGAUAAUAUGUGGUGUAGGUACCUUCAUCCAUCAGUAUUUCAUCUGUUGUUUCAAUCUUGGGAUGGAGCAAGAAACGGGAUGUCCAGGGACCAAUUAGCAGCAUUUUAUUUUAUUUUAUCUUUUUGAGAAAGCGAUUUUCCUGAGGAGUAUAUGUCAAUUGGCAUCAACAGUUUCACUGAACUGAAAGGCUACUUAGUUUUAGUAUACCACCAGCAUUACUGUUGAACCAUGGAUUAAAGAGUAUACAUUCAGUCUGGAUCAUUCAUCCCUGUUAUUGAGUAGGAUAUAAAGCCAAUAAGCCAUUGUUGGCGUUAGAUGAUGGGAGGAUAUUCUUCUGUCUAGGAUGGACUGGAUUGCUAAGCAUACCUGAUGAGACAUUUUGCACUUUUCCAAGAACCAGCACUUUGCAGAAGUGGAGAUGAGACAUCUUGCUGGAAAUAGCACACAGCAAAACAGAUGACUUUACAAAAUGGUGAUGUAGUGCAGUAUUGCAAUGUAUUGCUACUCCCUUCAGUUUGCAGUUGAUGAAAUUUGCAAGAACCAUCCAUUGCUUUUGGAAUUGAUCGUUGGGCAGAAUCAUAAAUUUUGGCUGUGAUUCUUUUCUACUGUUGAAUUGAAGCCUGCAAAGAUGUCUUCGAUUCUUGAAGAUGAUAGUUUUUUUUCUCUUUCAUUUUGUACUAUCUUCUGAGAUUGUAAUAUAAGGUGUACUUGUCAGCAUAUAUCAUAGUAUCUGACAUAAUUUAGGGCUGCUGCAACUUUGUUUUGCAGUAAAAAGGUGACAGAUUGCCAGUGCCACUUGUGUUGUAGGUGAAAUUCGCUGUGCAUGUAAAAGGAUGCGGUUUGAAUGCUUAUCAUAUAAUCUCUGUUACUGUUAUCUAGAUAUAAUGCACAAGCUCUUUGAGCUCAUAUAU